rnacentral:lncRNA from 1 species
AAAUUUAAUCUCAAAUUAGCCCCUAUGGAGUAAAAGUCUGUGUAAACAGAUGGACUUUGCACCUUGCCGCAAAGGUCAGCUGACGACAGCACUGUGAGUUUGGCAGCAAAUCCCUUAGUCAGAGAAGGACCUUCCCAUAAGAAAAACUUCGUCUUUAUUUCAGUUCUCGUGACAUGAAUGAGACUUGGCUUCCAUCACAAACUUGGCAGUCAGCGAGGCUUCCAGAGGAUUCUAUUAGCAAUGAUGAUGAUGAUGGUUGAGAUGGUGCAAAGCCCUUUAUACUUUUCUGAGGCUCUUUCACAUGCCUUGUGAAAAAUUCUCACCAUUUAACCUUAAAACACCAUCAGAUAAGAAAUGUAUAUAUGCAAAGUAUUUUUUUUUCCAGGAAAAGAAAAUAGAUGUAAUUCAAUCUGGGUUCUUAAAUUUUUCAGAUCUAAAUGAACUUUAAAAUAUGCUUGGAUAUAUCUCUGAGGAAUAUAACCUUAACAUUUUUCAGUGUUCAACCUAGACUAAUAAUAAUAUCAGCAACUCUGGUUUGGGGAUCACAGAACUCACAAACCAUUCACAUCUGGCACAUUUCAUACCCCUUUCCUGAUUCUACUGUAAGAACAGUCAACAGGAAAUAUGUUCACCGUAAAUGACUGUGAGGCAGUGAUGCAUGCUGCAGCUUCAUUCUUCUGGGAGAGUCUGAGUUUCCACCAUAAGAAAAGUCAGAGAUGUAGUUAUUUCCUGUCUUCCUCUUCACUGAAUCCUUGGACAGUACCCAUUUUAUGUUCUUAAGUGAAAAUGCUUUCUUCACUGUGUGUCUGAAAGUGUACGAACUAUUGUUGGAGUGUCAUAUGGGCAUCUCUCUCAUCUCCCAGAUCGAUGGCAUCGUCUAGGACUUCCCACAUAGACAAGAUAAACGAAAGGCUUCCAUGGACAGCUUGAGCCCUGAGGGCGGUGCCGAGCUGACAGCCUGGAACAUUGACCAACGCGCUGCAACUGACGUGUAAAUCACCCUCCGACUAGGGGUCCCGAAUCUGGAAAAGGAAAUGUCAUCUUUGGACUUUGCCCAUCAUGUGUUUAUGCACGAACAGUCCUUUCAAGUGCCUCUCUCCACCUUUGCAGACAAGUGGCAUAAUGCAGGUAGAGAUCACAUUUUUGGAGUUUAUUCCUAAGACUGGCUGUUAGUUUUUAUAAACAUUCCUUUUAUCUGAAAUUUAACCAUAAUUUUUUUUUCUUAAAAUGCCAUAUCUUCCUAUAUUUAGAGGGCAGGAUGCCAAGUCCAUAUCUACUCAAUAUAUCAAAUAUUUUCAGUAAGCCAGGAAUUAGAGCUUCCUUUUGUAAUCAACAAAACUCCUGGUAACUUCAUCUUUACUAACAGCCUCAUCCUUUCCUGCCAUUUCUUUGUUUGUUUGUUUAAUAAUUUGGUAGUACUGCUGUUGCCUUGCUUCCUGGCACCACUAGCCUGUCUGGGCAUGAUCUUUCUUUCCCCUCUUCCAAUUACUGGCCUCUGUUUGCCUCAAAGAGCCCACUUCUUAGGCACCACCUUCCCAACCCCUCUAAGCCACUGCUUACUUGGAUUGUGAGCUGUCGGCCCUUGUUCCCGGCUUCUGAUAUCACACCUGCUGGCCAGGCUGAAAUUCCUCCCUGCAUCCUCUGCAGCUGCCACUCUCAGAGCCAUUCCUCCUAGAUCCCACAUGUGCAUUCCAGGGCCUCUCAGUUGGCAUCUUCGCCAUGCAGGCAAUUUGGUCAAGUCAUUGUAGCAUCCUGAGACAUUCACUCUAUCCAUAUAAUUUAUGCAUUGGCCAUUUCUUGUCCUUUGAGAAAUACCACUGAUUGUC